rnacentral:tRNA from 2 species
GCCGAGGUGGCGAAAUGGCAGACGCGGCGGACUUAAAAUCCGCUUCUCGCAAGAGAGUGGGGGUUCGAGUCCCUUCCUCGGCACCA